rnacentral:lncRNA from 1 species
UAAGGAUAACAGAAUUAUUUGACGAUAUGAGAUUCUACAGAAAUUCGUUUGGUAUAGUAUUUUGUUUCACAUAACACUUACCUCUCACACUUCAUUCGGGUCUGAUAUCAAUUGCAACGACCCGACUCGACUAGCAACAAUAAUUAGUUGUGCCCAAACAAUCGGCCAUAAGGUAGUUAUUAUUACUAGUAUGUGAGGUCACGUAUAUUCUAAUGAGAAUUACUUUUUCCGUCCGAUGUGAUGCUAUUGGGACGUUACAUCAUAUCUCCUUCGCACAUCAUCAACAAAAUUUUUGAUAGGUUGUAAUAUGUAAAAUAAUAUGUAAUAAAUAUUCGACGUGAAAUAAGUUAGAAAAACCGUUUUCUUUAAAAGCUUAGAUUAUCAAAAUUGUAUUUGAAUAUUGUAUAUUUUGACAUAAUAUU